rnacentral:rRNA from 1 species
UACGUAGGGGGCAAGCGUUGUCCGGAAUCAUUGGGCGUAAAGCGCGUGUAGGCGGCUCGGUAAGUCCGCUGUGAAAGCCCGGGGCUCAACCCCGGGAGGCGGGUGGAUACUGCUGAGCUCGAGUCCGGAAGAGGAGUGUGGAAUUCCUGGUGUAGCGGUGGAAUGCGCAGAUAUCAGGAGGAACACCAAUAGCGAAGGCAGCUCGCUGGGACGGUACUGACGCUAAGGCGCGAAAGCGUGGGGAGCGAACAGG